UGUUAAACCAGGUUUAAUACUAAACUAAUGGUAGAGUAAUCGAAAAUAUAGAUAGAAGGACUAUUUCAAUUGUAGCAUCCAAAAUGCCUAUACCAACUCAAUUCAUUGUUUCAGGAUAAAAAUGUAGAACCAACAUAAAUGAAUCUUGGGGAUGGAAGUUUCUGUUUUGGACAAAAAAUAUUCCUUUUUUUUUUCCCUUCAUCCUUUGCAUUGGAAGAAUAGACUAAAAAAUUAAUAUGAUUCAACCUUAGACCCAUUUAAAUGUAGCAAAUAAUAGCGGGACUCGAGAAUUGAUGUGUAUUCGAAUCAUGGGAGCUAGCAAUCGUCGAUAUGCUCAUAUUGGUGAUGUUAUCGUUGCUGCGAUAAAAAAACAAAAAAAAAAAAGCAAUACCAAAUAUGUCCCUAGAAAAAUCAAAAAUAGUCAGAGCUGUAAUUGUUUGUACCUGUAAAAAACUUAAACGUGACAACGAUAUAAUAAUACGAUAUGAUCACAAUGCUGCAGUUGUGAUUGAUUAAAAAGGAAAUCCGAAAGGAACUAUAAUUUUUGGUGUGAUCCCCCGGGAAUUGAGACAAUUAAUUUUUGCUAAAAUAGUUUCAUUAGCUCCCAAGGUAUUAUAAAAUGAGAUCACUGAAAUGUUUAUAGUGGGUCUUUGAAAGAAAUAGAUUAAUUAGUAGAUUGUGUCUCACGCAUAUACCUUUAAUAAUUCUUAUGCAUAAAACAAAUUAAGUAAAAAGAAAAAGAAAAACAUGUUGAUUNCCCAUUAGAAGGGGCAGUGCAAGAGAAAUCAUAGAGAAAUGAUCGAAUCUUCGAACGCCCCGAAAAUACUGUGAGGUGCUCGAAAAUGAUCGAAGUAGUUGAAUAUGAGGAUCACUAUGACUAUAGCCCUUGGUAAAUUUACCAAAGACGAAAAUGAUUUAUUUGAUAUUAUGGAUGACUAUAACCAUUUCGUUUUUGUAGGCUGGUCCAGUCUAUUAUUCUUUUCUUGUGCCUAUUUCGCUCGAGGAGGUUGGUUCACAAGUACAACCUUUAUAACUUCAUGGUAUACCUAUAGAUUGGCUAGUUCCUAUUUGGAAAGCUAUAAUUUCUUAACAGCUGCAGUUUCUACUCUUGCUAAUAGUUUAGCGCAUUCUUUAUUGUUACUGUGGGGUCCUGAAGCACAAGAAGAUUUUACUCGUUGGUGUCAAUUAGAUGGUCUGUGAACUUUUGCUGCUCUCCAUGGUGCUUUCGGACUAAUAGGUUUCAUGUUACGUUAAUUCAAGUUUGUUCAAUCUGUUCAAUUGCGACAUUAUAAUGCAAUCACAUUCUCUGCUCCAAUUGCUAUUUUUAUUUUUGUAUUCUUGAUUUAUCCACUAGGUCAGUCUGGUUGGUCCGUAUAUUUCCAGACAAACCGGUUACAGUAAGACCCGCUGAAACACGUAUGGGUUCGAGAAAGGGAUCCCCUGAAUAUUGGGUAGUUUUUGUUAAACCAGGUUUAAUACUAAACUAAAUGGUGGAGUAACCGAAAAUAUAGAUAGAAGGACUAUUUCAAUUGUAGCAUCCAAAAUGCCUAUACGAACUUAAUUCAUUGUUUCAGGAUAAAAAUGUAGAACCAACAUAAAUGAAUCUUGGGGAUGAAAGUUUCUGUUUUGGACAAAAAAUAUUCUUUUUUUUCCCUUCAUCCUUUGCAUUGGAAGAAUAGACUAAAAAAUUAAUAUGAUUCAACCUUAGACCCAUUUAAAUGUAGCAAAUAAUAGCGGGACUCGAGAAUUGAUGUGUAUUCGAAUCAUGGGAGCUAGCAAUCAUCGAUAUGCUCAUAUUGGUGAUGUUAUUGUUGUUGUGAUAAAAAAACAAAAAAGGGCAAUACCAAAUAUGUCCCUAGAAAAAUAAAAAAUAGUUAGAGCUGUAAUUGCUUGUACCUGUAAAGAACUUAAACGCGACAAUAUAAUAAUACGAUAUGAUCACAAUGCUGCAGUUGUGAUUGAUCAAGAAGGAAAUCCGAAAGGAACUAUAAUUUUUGGUGUGAUCCCUCGGGAAUUGAGACAAUUAAUUUUUACUAAAAUAGUUUCAUUAGCUCCCAAGGUAUUAUAAAAUGAGAUCACUGAAAUGUUUAUAGUGGGUAUUUGAAAGAAAUAGAUUAAGAACUAGAUUAAUUAGUAGAUUGUGUCUCACACAUAUACCUUUAAUAAUUCUUAUGCAUAAAACAAAUUAAGUAAAAGGAAAAAGAAAAAAAUGUUGAUUAUAUCCAAUUAUGAGGCACCCAUAAUUUUAGUUCACCUUGGGUAGGGACACUAUUGUUGAGAUAAUAACCNGGAGAAAUUUUGUGUUAUAUAAC
rnacentral:lncRNA from 1 species